rnacentral:rRNA from 1 species
CCAAAGAGGGGGACAACAGUUGGAAACGACUGCUAAUACCGCAUACGAUCUAAUCUCGGCAUCGAGGAUAGAUGAAAGGUGGCCUCUACAUGUAAGCUAUCACUGAAGGAGGGGAUUGCGUCUGAUUAGCUAGUUGGAGGGGUAACGGCCCACCAAGGCGAUGAUCAGUAGCCGGUCUGAGAGGAUGAACGGCCACAUUGGGACUGAGACACGGCCCAG